rnacentral:rRNA from 1 species
UACAGAGGUGGCGAGUGUUGUUCGGAUUUACUGGGCGUAAAGAGUCCGCAGGCGGUCUUGUGUGUCAGAUGUGAAAUGCCACGGCUUAACCGUGGAAUUGCAUUUGAAACUACAGGACUAGAGUACAGGAGGGGAGAUGGGAAUUCAUGGUGUAGCGGUGAAAUGCGUAGAUAUCAUGAGGAACACCGGUGGCGAAAGCGCAUCUCUGGACUGAUACUGACGCUCAUGGACGAAAGCUGGGGGAGCAAACGGAAUUUGAUACUCCUGUAGUCCCGGCCGUAAACGGUGCACACUUGAUGUAGGCGGUUUACCCCCGCCUGUGUCGAAGCUAACGCGUUAAGUGUGCCGCCUGGGAAGUACGGCCGCAAGGUUAAA